ACGUGAGCUGGGUUCAGAACGUCGCGAGACAGUUUGGUCCCUAUCUGCCGUGGGCGUCGAUAAUUGAGAGGAGUUGACCCUAGUACGAGAGGACCGGGUUGAACAUACCUCUGGUGUACCAGUCAUGCCGCCAGGCGUGCUGCUGGGUAGCUAUGUAUGGACGGGAUAACCGCUGAAAGCAUCUAAGCGGGAAGCCCCCCUCAAAACCAGGUAUCCCUAUCAGAGCCGUGGAAGACCACCACGUUGAUAGGCUGGAAGUGGAAGCGCAGCAAUGUGUGAAGCGGACCAGUA
rnacentral:rRNA from 17 species